CCAAGUCCUUCAUGGAGAACUGUGAUGACAACCAUAGCAUCACACUCUACAAAAUCGAGAUGUCAUUUUAUAGUAAUAGUAUGUCAUCCACAUACAGCUCAAGAAAAAUGACCAUAGAAUCGAAAGCCCAUUUGUAGACACAAGGCUCUUCUCCAUUCCUAACGAAGCCAUACAUUUUGAUUACUUUAUCAAAAUGCAUGU
rnacentral:lncRNA from 1 species